rnacentral:lncRNA from 1 species
GCUUAUUUUCACUUUGGUUAACAACCUAAGUGAAUGCACGCUUCCAGAGUCCCACUAUGAUGUUUCUUUCUUUAAAGGCAAUAAUACUCUUUCAGUUGCUUUGGUUCUGAUCCUGGGAUUUAGUAAUAUCUUAUAGUGACAACCCCUGUGGUUCUUCACUUUUGGAUAUCUACUUCACAAGUCCAUACAUGUGUCCCUUUUGUGAUUUUGUGACACAUUCAUUAUAAGGGUUAUGAAAGUGAUUUCCUAUCACAUAGGAAAAUGCUUUCUUAAAUCUACAACAUUUGAGAUUUAAUUUCCCUAUUUAAUAUCCUUGAGAUAGCCUUGCUAUAUCAAUAAGUCCAAUUUCAAGUCUAUACUUCAAAAUUGACCGUGUCAUGUUUUGUCAUUUCUCGAGUAACAUCUAUGUUUUAUCAAGUCUAUCAAAUAGACUUUAUUCACAUCUUGUUGCUCAAAUUAUGACAUC